rnacentral:rRNA from 2 species
GAUGAACGCUGGCGGCGCGCCUAACACAUGCAAGUCGAACGGUUAAAGCACCUUUUAGGUGUGUAUAAAGUGGCGAACGGCUGAGUAACACGUGGGCAACCUGCCCUCCUCUUGGGGAUAGCCUCGGGAAACCGAGGAUAAUACCCGAUACUUCAAUGUGGCCGCAUGACGACAUUGGGAAAGCUUUUGCGGAGAAGGAUGGGCCCGCGGCCUGUUAGCUUGUUGGUGGGGUAGAGGCCUACCAAGGCAAUGAUGGGUAGCUGGGUUGAGAGACCGACCAGCCAGAUUGGGACUGAGACACGGCCCAGACUCCUACGGGAGGCAGCAGUGGGGAAUCUUGCACAAUGGGCGAAAGCCUGAUGCAGCGACGCCGCGUGCGGGACGAAGGCCUUUCGGGUUGUAAACCGCUUUUCAGCAGGGACGAGGCGAAAGUGACGGUACCUGCAGAAGAAGCCCCGC